UACGUAGGGUGCGAGCGUUGUCCGGAAUUAUUGGGCGUAAAGGGCUCGUAGGCGGUUUGUCGCGUCGGGAGUGAAAACUCAGGGCUUAACCCUGAGCCUGCUUCCGAUACGGGCAGACUAGAGGUAUGCAGGGGAGAACGGAAUUCCUGGUGUAGCGGUGAAAUGCGCAGAUAUCAGGAGGAACACCGGUGGCGAAGGCGGGUCUCUGGGCCGUAACUGACGCUGAGGAGCGAAAGCAUGGGGAGCGAACAGGA
rnacentral:rRNA from 1 species